GACGAACGCUGGCGGCGUGCUUAACACAUGCAAGUCGAGCGGUAAGGCCCUUUCGGGGGUACGACGAGUGGCGAACGGGUGAGUAACACGUGGGUGACCUGCCCUCAGCUCUGGGAUAAGCCUGGGAAACCGGGUCUAAUACUGGAUAUGACUCCAUGACGCAUGUUGUGGGGUGGAAAGCCUUGUGCGGCUGAGGAUGGGCCCGCGGCCUAUCAGCUUGUUGGUGGGGUGAGGCCUACCAAGGCGACGACGGGUAGCCGGCCUGAGAGGGCGACCGGCCACACUGGGACUGAGACACGGCCCAGACUCCUACGGGAGGCAGCAGGUGGGGAAUCUUGCGCAAUGGGCGAAAGCCUGACGCAGCGACGCCGCGUGAGGGA
rnacentral:rRNA from 1 species